rnacentral:rRNA from 1 species
GACGAACCGUGCGAACGUUGUUCGGAAUCACUGGGCUUAAAGGGCGCGUAGGCGGCUCGCGAGGUCGGGGGUGAAAUCCCACGGCUUAACCGUGGAAGGGCCUUCGAUACCGGCGGGCUCGAGGAAGGUAGGGGUGCGCGGAACGUUCUGGUGGAGCGGUGAAAUGCGUUGAUAUCAGAAGGAACGCCGGCGGCGAAAGCGGCGCACUGGAUCUUUUCUGACGCUGAGGCGCGAAAGCCAGGGGAGGCAAACGGG